UUGAGUUUGAUCCUGGCUCAGGACGAACGCUGGCGGCGUGCCUAAUACAUGCAAGUCGAGCGGACAGAUGGGAGCUUGCUCCCUGAUGUUAGCGGCGGACGGGUGAGUAACACGUGGGUAACCUGCCUGUAAGACUGGGAUAACUCCGGGAAACCGGGGCUAAUACCGGAUGGUUGUUUGAACCGCAUGGUUCAAACAUAAAAGGUGGCUUCUGGCUACCACUUACAGAUGGACCCGCGGCGCAUUAGCUAGUUGGUGAGGUAACGGCUCACCAAGGCAACGAUGCGUAGCCGACCUGAGAGGGUGAUCGGCCACACUGGGACUGAGACACGGCCCAGACUCCUACGGGAGGCAGCAGUAGGGAAUCUUCCGCAAUGGACGAAAGUCUGACGGAGCAACGCCGCGUGAGUGAUGAAGGUUUUCGGAUCGUAAAGCUCUGUUGUUAGGGAAGAACAAGUACCGUUCGAAUAGGGCGGUACCUUGACGGUACCUAACCAGAAAGCCACGGCUAACUACGUGCCAGCAGCCGCGGUAAUACGUAGGUGGCAAGCGUUGUCCGGAAUUAUUGGGCGUAAAGGGCUCGCAGGCGGUUUCUUAAGUCUGAUGUGAAAGCCCCCGGCUCAACCGGGGAGGGUCAUUGGAAACUGGGGAACUUGAGUGCAGAAGAGGAGAGUGGAAUUCCACGUGUAGCGGUGAAAUGCGUAGAGAUGUGGAGGAACACCAGUGGCGAAGGCGACUCUCUGGUCUGUAACUGACGCUGAGGAGCGAAAGCGUGGGGAGCGAACAGGAUUAGAUACCCUGGUAGUCCACGCCGUAAACGAUGAGUGCUAAGUGUU
rnacentral:rRNA from 1 species